rnacentral:rRNA from 1 species
UGGGGAAUAUUGCACAAUGGGCGAAAGCCUGAUGCAGCAACGCCGCGUGAGGGAUGAAGGCCUUCGGGUUGUAAACCUCUUUUAGUAGGGAAGAAGCGCAAGUGACGGUACCUACAGAAAAAGCACCGGCUAACUACGUGCCAGCAGCCGCGGUAAUACGUAGGGUGCAAGCGUUGUCCGGAAUUAUUGGGCGUAAAGAGCUCGUAGGCGGUUUGUCGCGUCUGCUGUGAAAAUCCGAAGCUCAACUUCGGACCUGCAGUGGGUACGGGCAAACUAGAGUGCGGUAGGGGAGAAGGGAAUUCCUGGUGUAGCGGUGGAAUGCGCAGAUAUCAGGAGGAACACCGAUGGCGAAGGCACUUCUCUGGGCCGUAACUGACGCUGAGGAGCGAAAGCGUGGGGA